GACCUUCGGGCCCUUGCGCUAUCACAUGAGCCUAAGUCGGAUUAGCUAGUUGGUGGGGUAAAGGCCUACCAAGGCGACGAUCCGUAACUGGUCUGAGAGGAUGAUCAGUCACACUGGAACUGAGCCAGGAUCAAACUCUAUACGGGAGGCAGCAGUGGGGAAUAUUGGACAAUGGGCGAAAGCCUGAUCCAGCCAUGCCGCGUGUGUGAAGAAGGUCUUCGGAUUGUAAAGCACUUUAAGUUGGGAGGAAGGGCAGUAAGUUAAUACCUUGCUGUUUUGACGUUACCAACAGAAUAAGCACCGGCUAACUUCGUGCCAGCAGCCGCGGUAAUACGAAGGGUGCAAGCGUUAAUCGGAAUUACUGGGCGUAAAGCGCGCGUAGGUGGUUUGGUAAGAUGGAUGUGAAAUCCCCGGGCUCAACCUGGGAACUGCAUCCAUAACUGCCUGACUAGAGUACGGUAGAGGGUGGUGGAAUUUCCUG
rnacentral:rRNA from 6 species